GCCCAGGUGGCGGAAUUGGCAUACGCGUGGCGUUCAGGACGCCAUGAAGGCAACUUCGUGUGGGUUCAACUCCCACCCUGGGCA
rnacentral:tRNA from 1 species